CCAACACCGACUAUUCCACUGCCGUAAAACCUUUCCAAAAUAUCUCUCUGGUUGUCGCUUUUUCUAGUUCUCUUUCCUAUCUCCAUUUCAUUGCACAGAGUCGCAAGUAGACUAGAAAAUCUGCUAGAAAUGUUUUCAAAUAUGGCAGCUCAAAGCUCGAGAAGAACGUAUGAUAGAAAGACGAUUGUGAUUGGUUUAUAUAUAAUGAUAUGCGAAAGCGUCAGCGUCAGGUAGCGCAGGCGAUAGUCUGGCACGGGUAAUACCGAAUAUUCUCAAUUGAGAACAUAUGGGUAAUACCCGUUGAGGUGUAUGCUAAACAGGUGAU
rnacentral:lncRNA from 1 species